UACGUAGGUGGCAAGCGUUGUCCGGAUUUACUGGGCGUAAAGAGCGCGCAGGCGGUCGUUCAAGUCGCGUGUGAAAGCCCCCGGCUCAACUGGGGAGGGUCACGCGAUACUGAUCGACUCGAAGGCAGGAGAGGGUAGUGGAAUUCCCGGUGUAGCGGUGAAAUGCGCAGAUAUCGGGAGGAACACCAGUGGCGAAGGCGGAACUCUGGGCCGGAACUGACGCUGAGGAGCGAAAGCGUGGGGAGCGAACAGG
rnacentral:rRNA from 1 species